AUUGUGCUGUGACAAAGUACACAGAGUAAUACAGGUAUUCUUGAAUGUUGACAUGUUUUCUGAAAUAGUGGCUCACUUUCUCCCCUUCAGAAUUAAAUACUGGAAUCAAAAUUAAGCAACCUCUUCUCAAACGGUAUUUUUGCAUCAGAAUGACGUGCAUCACAUACAUACACUGCAGGAGUUGAUCAUCCUAGGAAGCAACUAGACCCUGAUGUGCUCCAUGAACGACGCUGCCCUCUCUGGUAGCCUCACGCCAUCGGCAUGUUCAGUGGUACAGUGCGCGCAGUUGCCUGUGAUGAAAGAUCGCUACGGUAACGCUUCGACGAAUAUAAUAUCAGGAUCAUUUUUCUAAAACACUGGAUUUCAAAGUGUUGUAUAUCCAACGCGAUGCAAUUGCAGAUACUGCACUGCACCAACCAAACAGGACGAUGGGGAAAAGGAAUCUCGGGCUGCAAACCUGCCUCUGGUUUGGAUGUGACACCUCGUCCACAUUGCACACAACAUUCUCCUUGCCUGUGUGAAGACCCCGUGUCCCCCAUCACGGAACAGCCGUGUAGCAGGCGUGUAGAAGAUCCAAGAACAUGAGGAAUGUGGCCAUUUGGCGGGUCGGUGCAGCAUUCUGAAUGGCAAUGCUCUCCUAAAAAACACAACUGGAUUUCUUUCUGGUCGCUGACCUUAGCGGAGUGUUUAUCAAAAACAGUCAUUUACGAAAGUCGCAGACAUGCCUCUGUUUAAGCAGACCCGGAUCAUGGACUGGGCAGAGAGUGCAGCGACUGAGGGUGUCAUCGCUUAAAGCACUUUGAUGCAGAGCACUGGCUGCCCCAAUCAGGGCCCCACUCAGCCGCUCUCCCUCUCCAUCAGACCACAAACCAUGUCGUGGUCCAACCCUGACUAUCAAACAAAGACAUUUUUCCGAGCUAAGCAGCCUUUCCCUGGAGGAUCGUUUAUCUCUGUAAGCCCAGUCUGCUGUCCUUGAGCUGGAUUUUUGACCACGGCUUUUGGUUUUAUUGUACGAUAAUCAGGUGCCGCUUUCAUGUGAUGAAUAAUGAUCACAUUUAAUAUUAAAGGACUUUGUUUGUAGUAACGUAUUCCAAAUGGGCUGUCAGUUGAUAUCAGCAUCAUUAGUUUUAUUUUUAGAGAAUAAAUCAAAAUGUCUGUCUACAGUGAGCGCCCUCUCACACAGCUCCCGCUCUCCCCAUCCCCACUAUCUGGGCCAGGGUACCUCUGCAUCUGUGUUUUUCGUUGCCAUGGUUGCCUGGAAUGUGACGUAGAUCCUCGGAGGUAAAUCCUUUCGGCUCAGUGGUCG